rnacentral:rRNA from 1 species
CCUACGGGUGGCAGCAGUGGGGAAUAUUGGACAAUGGGGGGAACCCUGAUCCAGCCAUGCCGCGUGUGUGAAGAAGGCCCUCGGGUUGUAAAGCACUUUCAGUGAGGAAGAACGCCUGGUGGUUAAUACCCAUCAGGAAAGACAUCACUCACAGAAGAAGCACCGGCUAACUCCGUGCCAGCAGCCGCGGUAAUACGGAGGGUGCGAGCGUUAAUCGGAAUUACUGGGCGUAAAGCGCGCGUAGGUGGCUUGAUAAGCCGGUUGUGAAAGCCCCGGACUCAACCUGGGAACGGCAUCCGGAACUGUCAAGCUAGAGUGCAGGAGAGGAAGGUAGACUUCCCGGUGUAGCGGUGAAAUGCGUAGAGAUCGGGAGGAAUACCAGUGGCGAAGGCGGCCUUCUGGACUGACACUGACACUGAGGUGCGAAAGCGUGGGUAGCAAACAGGAUUAGAUACCCGAGUAGUC